ACAUACGUUCACAGGAAUCAGGGAGCAAGAAAACCCGUUCGAUCUUUCAUAUUUAAGCUGAUUACCGGCGGACUAGUAGUUAGGUGGGUGACCACUAGCGAAUCCCCGCUGACGUAUGUU
rfam:Cochliobolus sativus ND90Pr unplaced genomic scaffold COCSAscaffold_3, whole genome shotgun sequence.